ensembl:lncRNA LINC02018 long intergenic non-protein coding RNA 2018
GGUAGAGUCCAGGUUGGCGGGUCCUGGGGCGGAGUCAGGAUAGGGCGAUCCUGGAAGCUGGGCUUCAGAAGCGUCCAGCUGGGGAAACUGAGUUACAGAGCUUUUCUGCACUGAGUCAUCAGGAGCAAAUGCUAGAUCAGAUAGGGUCUCUCUCUCUGCCACCCAGGCCAGAGUGCAGUUGACGCAGGGCAGGGGAGCCCCGAAGUGGAGCAUAGUGUGUCCGGAACUGGUGGGUUCUUGGUCUCACUGACUUCAAGAAUGAAGCCGUGGACCCUCACGGUUCAAGCGAUUCUCCUGCCUCAGCCUCCAGAGUAGCUGGAACUACAGAUGCGCACCACCACGCCCAGGCUGUGCUUCUCAGUGGCUCCCACCAGAUACCUGAUGGUCCUGUCGAUUUGCUGAAUCAUCAACUUCCUAUUCUCUGCCUCUGGCCUGAAUCGAUGUCCCACGUUAUCUGGCUCUCUGUAACACAGAGUCACAAAGUCAAAGUCUUCCUUGGUGAACCAGUUCAUGACAGUAUCGAUGUUCGCACUCCGCUCUGUCUCGUUGCUGUUUGGCGUCUUAUCUGUAACCUCUGCAGGUGCAGGAAUGAGAGGCAGCAGCCGGGGAAGCCAGGGUCUCCGGAAGUCCUUGUCUCUGGGCGGUGAUCCAGAGAGAGAGAGAGAACACGAUUGUCUCAGCAAUGGGUCUUCUUCUGAGUCUUGAAGGAGCACUUCCAGAGCCUCUCAGUGUUAAACAUCGUGUUGUGAAUGACUCCGUGAGCUCUGACCCAGUGACCUUGGGGAUAAAGGAGGGGAGGUACGGAUAAGCUCUUCGAAUGGAUGUUGCCGGGGUGUCAGUGUUCUUUGAGGGCACAGACUAUGUGUCACUAAAGAAAGAGCCCAGUGCCUUUUCUCAUUGCUCAAGAGAUUGAAGGGGUAGUAAGAAAAGAUGUUAAGUUAUAAACACGUUUCAGUUUUGGUACCAGUUGAACCAAUUUACGUUUUGAAGAGGAAAGAGUCUUGCCUACAAUGUCAGCCCCCGGGUUUUCCUUCUGCUUAUGGAAUCCAGGCAAUGGGCAAAGAGAAAAAGAAAACUAAGGAAUCAGCCAGGUGCAGUGGCUCAUGCUUGUGAUCUUGGCACUUUGGGAAGCUGAGGCAGGUGGACUUCUUGAGUGCAGCAGUUCAAGACCAGCCUGGCCAACAUAGUGAGACCCCGUUUCUACAAAAAAUACAAAAAGUUGCUGAGCAUGGUGACAUGCACCUGUAGUCCCAGUUACUUGGGAGGCUGAGGUGGGAGAACUACUUCAUCCCAGGAGGCUGAGGCUGCAGCGAGCCAUGAUCGUGCCACUAUACUCCUGCCUGGGUGGCAGAGUGAGGCCCUGUCUCAAAAGAAAACAAAAAAGAUAAAAAGAAAACUAGGGAAUCUAGACAGCAUAAGUUUAUAUAUAUAAUAAAGAACUGAGAUAGAA